rnacentral:rRNA from 1 species
AAAACAUGGUCUUUUGUUUAUAUAAAAGAUCUGGCCUGCCCAAUGAUAAAUUUUAAUGGCUGCAGUAUUUUGACUGUACAAAGGUAGCAUAAUCAUUUGUCUUUUAAUUGAAGUCUGGAAUGAAUGGUCUGAUGAAAAAUUUACUUUCUUUAUUUUAAAUAUAAAAUUUAAUUUUUAAAUCAGAAAGUUUAAAUAUUAAUAUAGGACGAGAAGACCCUAUAGAACUUUAUUUAUAUAAAAUAUCUAUUAAUUCGUUAAUUAUAAAUAUAUAUUUUUAUAUGAAUUAUAUUGGGGUGAUAAAAAAAAAAUUAUAACUUUUUUUAUUUUUUUCAUUUAUAUAUGAAUUUUUGAUCCUUUAUUAUGGAUUAAAAGAAUAAGUUACCUUAGGGAUAACAGCGUUAUUAUUUUAGAGAGUUCAUAUUGAUAAAAUAGUUUGCGACCUCGAUGUUGGAUUAAAAUUAGCUUCAGGAGUAGAAGAUUGGUGGCUAAGUCUGUUCGACUUUUAAAUUUUUACAUGAUCU